ACUCCAUGGUGCGGAUAUUUUCUUAAAAGUUCCAUUAAACGUUCCCAUGUUUCAUAUAAAGAACCCUUAUCCUCUUGUUGAAAAGAAUUAAUUUCAGUCAGUAGUUU
rfam:Helianthus annuus linkage group 9, whole genome shotgun sequence.